GUGGGGAAUCUUCCGCAAUGGACGAAAGUCUGACGGAGCGACGCCGCGUGAGUGAAGAAGGCCUUCGGGUCGUAAAGCUCUGUCAUCAGGGACGAAUGGCCGGUGGAGUGGAAAGCCACCGGAUUGACGGUACCUGAGAAGGAAGCCACGGCUAACUACGUGCCAGCAGCCGCGGUAAUACGUAGGUGGCAAGCGUUGUCCGGAAUUAUUGGGCGUAAAGCGCGCGCAGGUGGGAUCUUAAGUCCAUUUUGAAAGUUCGGAGCUCAACUCCGUGAUGGGAUGGAAACUGGGAUUCUUGAGUACCGGAGAGGAAAGCGGAAUUCCCCGUGUAGCGGUGAAAUGCGUAGAUAUGGGGAGGAACACCAGUGGCGAAGGCGGCUUUCUGGACGGUGUCUGACACUGAGGCGCGAAAGCCAGGGGAGCGAACGGGAUUAGAAACCCGUGUAGUCC
rnacentral:rRNA from 1 species